rnacentral:rRNA from 1 species
UACGUAGGUGGCGAGCGUUAUCCGGAUUUAUUGGGCGUAAAGCGUGCGCAGGCGGUUUAUUAAGUCUAAGAUUAAAGCCCGGAGCUUAACUCCGGUUCGUCUCAGAAACUGGUAGACUUGAGUAUGGUAGAGGCAAAUGGAAUUCCUAGUGUAGCGGUGGAAUGCGUAGAUAUUAGGAGGAACACCAGUGGCGAAGGCGAUUUGCUGGGCCAUUACUGACGCUCAGGCACGAAAGCGUGGGGAGCAAAUAGG